rnacentral:rRNA from 1 species
UUUUUGGUGGGUGUGGAUGAGUGGCGAACGGGUGAGUAACACGUGAGUAACCUGCCCUCUUCUUCUGGAUAACCUCAUGAAAGUGGGGCUAAUACGGGGUAUUCCGGGUCUGUCGCAUGGCGGGUUUGGGAAAGAUUGCGCCUUUGGGUGUUUUCGGUGGGGGAUGGGCUCGCGGCCUAUCAGCUUGUUGGUGGGGUGAUGGCCUACCAAGGCGGUGACGGGUAGCCGGCCUGAGAGGGUGGACGGCCACACUGGGACUGAGACACGGCCCAGACUCCUGCGGGAGGCAGCAGUGGGGAAUAUUGCACAAUGGGCGCAAGCCUGAUGCAGCGACGCCGCGUGAGGGAUGGAGGCCUUCGGGUUGUGAACCUCUUUCGCCAGUGAAGCAGGCCUGCCUCGUUUGUGGGUGGGUUGACGGUAGCUGGAUAAGAAGCGCCGGCUAACUACGUGCCAGCAGCCGCGGUAAUACGUAGGGCGCGAGCGUUGUCCGGAAUUAUUGGGCGUAAAGAGCUCGUAGGCGGCUGGUCGCGUCUGUCGUGAAAUCCUCUGGCUUAACUGGGGGCUUGCGGUGGGUACGGGCCGGCUUGAGUGCGGUAGGGGAGGCUGGAACUCCUGGUGUAGCGGUGGAAUGCGCAGAUAUCAGGAAGAACACCGGUGGCGAAGGCGGGUCUCUGGGCCGUUACUGACGCUGAGGAGCGAAAGCGUGGGGAGCGAACAGGAUUAGAUACCCUGGUAGUCCACGCCGUAAACGUUGGGCACUAGGUGUGGGGGGCCUUUUCCGGGU